rnacentral:rRNA from 1 species
GGUCCUGCCUGCCCAGUGACUAUAUGUUUAACGGCCGCGGUACUUUGACCGUGCGAAGGUAGCGCAAUCACUUGUCUUUUAAAUGAAGACCUGUAUGAAUGGCACGACGAGGGCUUAACUGUCUCCUUUUUCCAGUCAAUGAAAUUGAUCUUCCCGUGCAGAAGCGGGAAUAAUAUCAUAAGACGAGAAGACCCUGUGGAGCUUUAGACACUAAAUCAGCCCUUGUCCAAAAUCCCAAUUAAAGGAAUGAACUCUAGAGUGAGACCUGAUCUAAUGUCUUCGGUUGGGGCGACCUUGGGGAAAGAAAAAUCCCCCAUGCGGAACGGAAAUACUAUGUUUCCAAAACUAAGAGACACCACUCAAAGUAUCAAAAAUUUUGACCAACUAUAUGAUCCGGCUUAACGCCGAUCAACGGACCGAGUUACCCCAGGGAUAACAGCGCAAUCCUCUUUUAGAGCCCAUAUCGACAAGAGGGUUUACGACCUCGAUGUUGGAUCAGGACAUCCUAAUGGUGCAGCCGCUAUUAAGGGUUCGUUUGUUCAACGAUUAAAGUCCUACGUGAUC